rnacentral:rRNA from 1 species
AUAUCAAUAAGCGGAGGAAAAGAAACUAACAAGGAUUCCCCUAGUAACUGCGAGUGAAGCGGGAUGAGCUCAAAUUUAAAAUCUGGUAGCUUUGCUGCCCGAGUUGUAAUCUGGAGAAGCAUUUUCCGCGUCAGACCGUGUACAAGUCUCUUGGAAUAGAGCGUCAUAGAGGGUGAGAAUCCCGUCCAUGACACGGACCGCUGAUGCUUUGUGAUAUGCUCUCGAAGAGUCGAGUUGUUUGGGAAUGCAGCUCAAAAUGGGUGGUAAAUUCCAUCUAAAGCUAAAUAUUGGCGAGAGACCGAUAGCGCACAAGUA